rnacentral:lncRNA from 1 species
CCCCAAUACAACAGUAGAUCAUCCUUACCAAGGUUAGAAUGAGACUACGGUUGCAGUCUUCUCUAUACAUCGCUCACAUCGAGAAACAUUCUUUGUAGCCUAAAGGGAUAGUAGCAAUAGAUUUGGUUAGUCAGAUGCACCCUUUCUCCCAGUGGUAAAAAUAUAAAUACGAUACUCUGGAAAACUUCCCGGGUGAAAUGCUCACCGAUAUCCGUGCGCU